rnacentral:pre_miRNA from 1 species
AAAGUACUCCCUCCGUCCCAAAAUUCUUGUCUUAGAUUUGUCUAGAUACGAAUGUAUCAAGUCACAUUUUAGUAUUAGAUACAUCCGUAUCUAGAUAAAUCUAAGACAAGAAAUUUGGGACAGAGGGAGUAGUUG